rnacentral:lncRNA from 1 species
GUUGGUGUAAGCUUGAAGAAGAAGUUACUUGUGCGAUAAGUAAUUUGUUUUAAUUAAGAGAUAAUGUCAUAUCUUUGGGAGUUAUCCAUAGAUAUUAGUUUUAGGAGUUAUCUAAAACAAGUCAUAGUUUGUUUAGGAUUAUGUCUUGAGAUUUUCUAUAUAAGAGUUGCCAAAGCUUGUGGUAAACCUUAAGAAUUGAGAGAGAGAUUAAGGAGAGCUUUAGUUUGAGUUAUUUCUAAAGUUAAUAAAAGGAGUGUUCUUUUAAUUCUUGAUCUUAAUUUUCAAUUCUAGAUUUGGUAUCAGAGCUUAUAGCUUUGUUUCUCAAACGUGAUUAAGAACGAAGAUCAUCCGAGAUAUGAGUGAAUUGGCCACGACGGGUAACAAACCAAAGGAGGGAGUACCAUCAACUAUACAAUGUCCGAUGCUAACAAAUUCAAACUACACAGUUUGGACCAUGAGGAUGAAGGCAACCCUCCGUGCGCAUAAGACGUGGGAAACAAUCGAUCCUGGUUCUAAUGAUAUAGAGAAGAAUGAUAUAGCCCGUGCUCUAUUAUUCCAAUCCGUACCAGAAUCGAUGGUCUUACAAGUUGGCGAACAUGAAACUGCAAAAGGUGUCUGGGAUGCUAUCAAAUCAAGAAAUCUCGGUGCUGACCGUGUAAAGGAAGCGAGACUGCAGACACUUAUGAAUGAGUUUGACAGGCUGAAGAUGAAGGAAAGCGACACCAUCGAUGACUUUGCUGGAAGAAUGUCAGAGAUCUCUACAAAAGCAGCCUCCUUAGGUGAAAAAAUUGAAGAAACAAAAGUUGUUAAGAAGUUUCUCAAGAGCUUGCCUAGGAAGAAAUAUAUUCACAUAAUAGCAGCCCUAGAACAAGUUCUUGAUCUCAAGACAACAACUUUUGAAGACAUUGUGGGAAGACUUAAAACAUACGAAGAUAGAGUUUGUGACGAGGAAGAAGAUCCGCAGGAAGAUCAAAGUAAGCUCAUGUAUGCAAGCUCAGACUCACAAGAAGGAGGAAGAGGAAGAGGUCGAGGACGUUUUGGAAGAGGCAGAGGAAGAUUUGGUUACCAAUCCAGAGAGUAUGGCUAUCAACAAAAGGAAUUUGCUCAAAGAGACAAGCCCAAAGUGACUUGUUACCGAUGUGACAAAACAGGACAUUAUGCUUCCAAUUGUCCUGAUAGACUCUUAAAGUUGAUUAAGCUUCAGGAGACACAAGAAAAGGAGGAAGAUAGUACUCAUGAAGCAGAGUCCCUUAUGAUGCAUGAGGUAGUUUUCUUGAAUGAAAACAAUGUAAUGCCAAAAGAAUUUGAGACAUGUUCUGAAAAAACUUGGUAUCUUGACAAUGGGGCUAGUAAUCACAUGACGGGACACCGAGCUUGGUUCUACAAGAUGAAUGAGAUGGUCACAGGGAAAGUAAGGUUUGGAGAUGACUCGUGUAUUAACAUAAAAGGAAAGGGCUCAAUACUUUUCUUAAGUAAAACCGGAGAAAGAAAAAUUCUAGAUGAUGUUUACUACAUACCAGAUCUCAAGAGCAACAUCAUAAGUUUAGGACAAGCCACUGAAUCAGGGUGUGAGGUAAGAAUGAAAGAAGAUUACCUAAUUCUGCAUGACAGAGAUGGAAACUUGUUAGUAAGAGCAACAAGAUCAAGGAACAGACUGUAUAAGGUGAAUCUGGAAGUAGAAGAAACAAACUGUCUACAACUUAUAACAUCAGAUGACUCAGCUAAAUGGCAUGCCCGACUUGGACACAUCAAUCUUGAGACUCUUAAAACAAUGGUGGCAAAAGAGAUGGUUAAAGGAAUACCGGCUGCUCCAAAAGGAAAAGAAACAUGCCCAUCCUGCUUACUUGGAAAGCAAACAAGGAAGAUGUUCCCUAAAGCAACACUGUAUCGUGCAUCUAGUAUUCUCGAGUUAUUACAUGGUGAUCUCUGCGGACCAAUAUCACCAUCAACGGCUGCUAGAAAGAGGUAUGUGUUCGUCUUGAUCGAUGAUCACUCACGCUACAUGUGGUCUAUUUUGUUAAGAGAAAAAGGUGAGGCAUUUGAGAAAUUUAAAAGUUUCAAGAAAUUGGUUGAGCAAGAAAGUGGUGCCAGAAUAAAGAUACUUAGAACAGACAGAGGAGGCGAGUUUAUGUCUCAUGAGUUUCAAGAAUUUUGUGAAAAAGAAGGUAUCACAAGACAUUUAACCGCACCAUAUAGCCCUCAACAAAAUGGAGUGGUUGAAAGAAGAAACAGGACCUUGCUAGAGAUGACAAGAAGUAUAUUGAAGCAUAUGAGCCUACCUAACUAUCUAUGGGGAGAAGCGGUGAGACAUUCAACUUACCUAAUAAACAGAGUAGGAACAAGAGCUCUAGCUUACCAAACUCCAUAUGAAGUUUUUAAGAACAAGAAGCCAAACGUAGAACAUUUGAGAGUUUUCGGGUGUAUCAGCUAUGCCAAAAUUGAUGGACCGCAUUUAAGAAAGCUUGAUGACCGAUCAAGAAUCCUUGUACACCUUGGGACAGAACCUGGCUCAAAGGCUUACCGCCUCCUUGAUCCAACCACUAGAAAAAUCAUUGUAAGCAGAGACGUAGUCUUUGACGAAAAUAAAAGCUGGAAGUGGAAUAACUCAGAAAUAUCUAGCCAAGAAACAGGAACCUUUACACUUAUCUUUGGAGAAUUUGGAAAUCAUGGGAUUGAUGAUAAUGAAGUUGUUCAAGAAACAGAGGAAAACAGAGAAUAUGAGAAUGAAUCGGAUAGAGAAGAAGAAGUUGCUGAUGAAUCCGAAGCUGAUAAUGUCGAACCAGAACAGAAUGUUGAACCAGAACAGCCGCAAGCACCACCAUUGUUAAGAAGGUCUGGAAGACAAAUCUCAAAGCCAACCUACCUGAAUGACUACGUGUUACUAGCAGAGAACGAAGGAGAACAUCUUUUGCUCAUGAUCAAUGAGGAACCAAGUGACUUCAGAGAAGCAAACAAAUCACAUGAAUGGAGGAAUGCAUGUGAAGAAGAAAUCAUGUCAAUAGAAAAGAACAAAACAUGGAGUCUCGUUGACCUUCCCAUUGGUAGUAAACCAAUUGGCUUGAAGUGGGUUUUUAAACUAAAACGUAACUCCAACGGAAGCAUAAACAAGCACAAAGCAAGGCUGGUGGCAAAAGGAUACGUGCAAAGGCAUGGGAUUGAUUUCGAUGAGGUAUUUGCUCCGGUAGCAAGAAUUGAGACAAUACGUUUUAUUAUAGCCUUAGCAGCCUCAAAGGGAUGGGAAGUGCACCACCUAGAUGUCAAAACUGCGUUCCUCCAUGGAGAAUUGAAGGAAGAUGUUUAUGUAAGUCAACCUGAGGGAUUUGUGACUAAAGGAAGUGAAAGAAAAGUUUACAAGCUACACAAGGCUCUCUAUGGACUAAGACAAGCACCGCGGGCAUGGAACACCAAGCUAAACGAAAUCCUCAGAGAGUUGAGUUUUGAAAAAUGUUCUAAGGAGCCUUCACUUUACAGAAAGAAAGAAAGGGAGAACCUUCUCAUAGUAGCUGUGUAUGUUGAUGACUUACUAGUCACGGGUUCAAGCUUGGAUUUGAUACUUGAUUUCAAGAAAGGAAUGGCGGGAAAGUUUGAGAUGAGCGACUUGGGAAAACUCACCUACUACCUCGGGAUUGAAGUGUUUCAAGGAGAAGAUGGGAUCGUGUUAAGGCAAGAAAGAUAUGCUAAGAAGAUUCUUGAAGAGGCUGGGAUGAGUGAGUGUAAUGCGGUUCAUACACCAAUGACGUCGGGCCUUGAACUUUCUAAGGCACUAGAAGAGAAGCGAGUCAAUGAGCAGGAUUAUAGAAGAAAUAUCGGGUGUCUUAGGUACCUACUUCAUACGCGACCCGAUCUUUCUUUUUGUGUUGGGAUCUUGAGUAGGUACUUGCAAGAACCAAGAGAAUCACAUGGAACGGCAUUGAGACAGAUUUUGAAAUAUAUUCAAGGAACCACAACUCAUGGUCUACAUUUCAAGCAAGGAAUCAAGUCGGGUUUAGUAGGCUAUAGCGAUAGCAGCCACAAUGUAGAUCUUGAUGAUGGAAAGAGCACUGCUGGUCACGUCUUUUAUCUCAAUGAAUGUCCUAUUACAUGGUGUUCUCAGAAGCAACAAGUGGUAGCUCUUUCAUCUUGCGAAGCCGAGUUCAUGGCAGCUACGGAGGCGGCGAAGCAAGCUAUAUGGUUACAAGAACUACUUGCGGAAGUCAUUGGAGUAGAAUGUGACAAAGUAACUAUACGGGUUGAUAACAAGUCAGCUAUUGCACUCACGAAGAACCCGGUAUUUCAUGGAAGAAGCAAGCAUAUUCAUCGAAAGUAUCACUUUAUACGUGAAUGUGUAGAGAAUGGUCAGAUUGAGGUGGAUCAUGUUCCUGGUGAAGAACAAAGGGCAGAUAUUUUAACCAAGGCACUUGGAAGAACUAAGUAUAAAGAAAUGAGAGAUCUCAUUGGAGUUCAUGUUGUGUCAAUGGAAGACUUCAAGCUUAAAGGGGAGAAUGUUGGUGUAAGCUUGAAGAAGAAGUUACUUGUGCGAUAAGUAAUUUGUUUUAAUUAAGAGAUAAUGUCAUAUCUUUGGGAGUUAUCCAUAGAUAUUAGUUUUAGGAGUUAUCUAAAACAAGUCAUAGUUUGUUUAGGAUUAUGUCUUGAGAUUUUCUAUAUAAGAGUUGCCAAAGCUUGUGGUAAACCUUAAGAAUUGAGAGAGAGAUUAAGGAGAGCUUUAGUUUGAGUUAUUUCUAAAGUUAAUAAAAGGAGUGUUCUUUUAAUUCUUGAUCUUAAUUUUCAAUU